rnacentral:rRNA from 1 species
UACGGGGGGAGCAAGCGUUGUUCGGAUUUACUGGGCGUAAAGGGCGCGUAGGCGGCCACCGCAAGUCGGUUGUGAAAUCUCCGGGCUUAACCCGGAAAGGUCAAUCGAUACUGCGGGGCUAGAGUGCAGAAGGGGCAACUGGAAUUCUCGGUGUAGCGGUGAAAUGCGUAGAUAUCGAGAGGAACACCUGCGGCGAAGGCGGGUUGCUGGGCUGACACUGACGCUGAAGCGCGAAAGCCAGGGGAGCAAACGGG